ensembl:lncRNA
CUACCAUGUACCAGCCUCCUGUCAACAGAGCAACAUCUACACACAACAACAACAGGUUUGCCCAGGCCCUGAAGAGUUCUGGCCAAUCAGCCGUGUUUAUAGGGAAGCGUGCUGACAUCACCCUGGAUCUAUCCAAUCAGCAGUGGCACAGCUCAGACAGAGAGGUCCUGUCUUCCUUUAAAAGAGGACUAGAGUCUCACUCGUUCAGCGUUGUCCAGUUGUCUUCCUUCUCUGACCAUCUGACGUCUAUGAUCUCUACUGACCAGCACUACCACACGAUGUCUCAGCGUCUGAGAGAGAUGUGUGUGGUGUUUGCAGGGCCGUUGCCUAGCGACUACACAGAGAGGGAUGUGAGGAGGCUGUUCAGGAGCUGUGGAAAAGUACGGGCUGUCAGGCUGCUGGAUGCUACUCAGAGGGUACGUGACCAAAUAUAAGAAGCCAUAAAGCGUCACAGUGGUGCUGAUCUAGGAUCAGGUCCCCCUUGUCCAUUCAUUACCACAGUAGUGCUGAUCCAGGAUCAGGUCCCCCUUGUCCAUUCAUUACCACAGUAGUGCUGAUCCAGGAUCAGGUCCCCCUUGUCCAUUCAUUACCACGGUAGUGCUGAUCCAGGAUCAGGUCCCCCUUGUCCAUUCAUUACCACAGUAGAGCUGAUCCAGGAUCAGGUCCCCCUUGUGCAUUCAUUACCACGGUAGUGCUGAUCUAGGAUCAGGUCCCCCUUGUCCAUUCAUUACCACAGUAGAGCUGAUCCAGGAUCAGGUCUCCCUUGUCCAUUCAUUACCACGGUGGUGCUGAUCCAGGAUCAGGUCCCCCUUGUCCAUUCAUUACCACAGUAGUGCUGAUCCAGGAUCAGGUCCCCCUUGUCCAUUCAUUACCACAGUAGUGCUGAUCCAGGAUCAGGUCCCCCUUGUCCAUUCAUUACCACGGUAGUGCUGAUCCAGGAUCAGGUCCCCCUUGUCCAUUCAUUACCACAGUAGAGCUGAUCCAGGAUCAGGUCCCCCUUGUGCAUUCAUUACCACGGUAGUGCUGAUCUAGGAUCAGGUCCCCCUUGUCCAUUCAUUACCACAGUAGAGCUGAUCCAGGAUCAGGUCUCCCUUGUCCAUUCAUUACCACGGUGGUGCUGAUCCAGGAUCAGGUCCCCCUUGUCCAUUCAUUACCACAGUAGAGUUGAUCUAGGAUCAGGUCCCCCUUGUCCAUUCAUUACCACAGUAGAGCUGAUCUAGGAUCAGGUCCCCCUUGUCCAUUCAUUACCACGGUAGAGCUGAUCUAGGAUCAGGUCCCCCUUGUCCAUUAAUUACAACCUAAAAGGCAAAGCUGAUCCUAGAUCAGCACUCCUUCUCAGAGGGGCUUUAUGAGUACUGGCCCAGGGAUCUCCAAUGGGUACAGGCUUUUGUUCCAUCCAAAUCACAUGUUAUUUGUCACAUGCUUUGUAAACAACAGGUGUAGACUAAUAGUGAAAUGCUUACUUAUAGGUUCUUUUCCAACAGCGCAGAGGUAACAAACAUGUUACAUGAUCCUAGAUUAGACUAGGUUUGGUUUUACAGGAGUAUUUAUGGUCCUGCGCCCAGAUAUCUAAGUGAUUACUUUCCUCGUGUUAGGGAUGCACACAAUCACAGCACCAGAUCAGGUGUUGCUGAUGUGUGCUUAUACAGGUUCAGGAGCAAUGCUGGGAAAGGUACUUUCUUGUAUACUGGAGCCUCAGAAUGGAAUGAGUUGCCUCUGCCCAUAAAAACAACGUCCUCUCUGGGCAGCUUUAAAAAUAAAGUAAAAAUAUGUUUGAUGUCCUCUGUGCCCAUAUGAACAACCCCUAUGAUGUAACUGCAAUGAUGAGAUAGAUGUUCUUCUUCUGUUUCUGUUGUAUUAUUUCUCUGCCAUACUGUUUGAUCUUGUCUAGCCAGCUUGUCUCAAGAGGACCACAAUGGAAAUAAGUCCCAGACUUUGUGAAAUAAGUCCCAGACUCCAUGAUUUUAUUCAUGUGCAUGUAUGGC